UACGAAGGGGGGCUAGCGUUGCUCGGAAUCACUGGGCGUAAAGGGUGCGUAGGCGGGUCUUUUAAGUCAGGGGUGAAAUCCUGGAGCUCAACUCCAGAACUGCCUUUUGAUACUGAGGAUCUUUGAGUCCGGGAGAGGUGAGUGGAACUGCGAGUGUAGAGGUGAAAUUCGUAGAUAUCGCAAGAACACCAGUGGCGAAGGCGGCUCACUGGCCCGGUACUGACGCUGAGGAGCGAAAGCGU
rnacentral:rRNA from 1 species